UUUUGACAUUCUAGAAAAAAUAGAGUUCGUGUUUCGGCCACGAAAAUGGGGGUGGUUCUCCUGUCAAAAA
rnacentral:tRNA from 1 species